AAUGGGAAAGUAGAUUCCAGUUUCCUAAACAUAAACACCCUGAACAGAAAAGUAACCUUAUCUCUAACUACUUUCCUAAAUAGGAUUAUGCAAGGGAAUGGGCCAAAUUUAUUUAAAGGAAGCUUAAGGCCCAAGUGAGGUUGAUGGGCUUGAAGAAUUAUAAAGAAGUCCAAGUGUUAGCCCAACCCGAGAAAGGACCAAGUUAAAGAAGCAUCAAGGGGGAGAAACCCAAGCCACAACAUGGGCUUAGAAACCCAUUGGGUACGCACAUGAAGGCCCACCUAUGAGGGGUGAGC
rnacentral:lncRNA from 1 species